CCUGGUGGCUCAGACGGUAAAGUGUCUGCCUGCAAUGCAGGAGACCCAGGUUCGAUUCCUGGGUCAGGA
rnacentral:tRNA from 1 species